rnacentral:lncRNA from 1 species
UGACUUCUGUUUUAUUUUAAUUAAUUCGUGUGUCAAUUUUCAUUGUUUUUAAUAUCUUUUUGGGGGAAGAUGAUGUCCUGACCCCACCUUAUUUAUUUUAAUUUUUCAUUAUUUUCUUGAUUAAUUUACUAUUUAUUCUUGAUUUAUUUCUAACCUAGUCUUAUUAAUUGACUUUUUGUUUGACCUAUGUUUUGUUUUAAUUAAUUCACGUGCCAAUUUUCAUUAUUU